GAUGAACGCUAGCGGGAGGCUUAACACAUGCAAGUCGAACGGUAAGGUCUCUUCGGAGAUACACGAGUGGCGAACGGGUGCGUAACACGUACGCAACUUACCUUCAUCAGGGGGAUACGCUUUGGAAACGAAGUAUAAUACCCCAUAAUAUUAACAAUUCGCAUGUUUUGUUAAUUAAAGCUCAGGCGGAUGAAGAUAGGCGUGCGGCCCAUUAGAUUGUUGGUAAGGUAACGGCUUACCAAGUCGACGAUGGGUAGGGGGCGUGAGAGCGUGAUCCCCCACACGGGCACUGAGACACGGGCCCGACUCCUACGGGAGGCAGCAGUGAGGAAUAUUGGACAAUGGAGGAAACUCUGAUCCAGCCAUCCCGCGUGCAGGAUUAAGGCCCUCUGGGUUGUAAACUGCUUUUCUCAAGGAAGAAACAUCUGGAUUUAUCUAGACUUGACGGUACUUGAGGAAUAAGCACCGGCUAACUCCG
rnacentral:rRNA from 1 species